CCAAUAGCGUAUAUUAAAGUUGUUGCAGUUAAAAAGCUCGUAGUUGAACUUCGGGAUCAAUGAAUUGGUCAUGCCGUUGGUAUGUACUGAUUUUAUUGGUUCUCACCUUCUAAAGAACCAUAAUGUCAUUCAUUUGAUGUUAUGGGGAAUUAGGACUGUUACCUUGAAAAAAUUAGAGUGUUUAAAGCAGGCUUACGCUUGAAUACAUUAGCAUGGAAUAAUGAAAUAGGACAUCCGAUUCUAUUUUGUUGGUUUCUAGGAUCGAUGUAAUGAUUAAUAGGGAUAGUUGGGGGCAUUAGUAUUCAAUUGUCAGAGGUGAAAUUCUUGGAUUUAUUGAAGACUAACUACUGCGAAAGCAUUUGCCAAGGAUGUUUUCAUUAAUCAAGAACGAAAGUUAGGGGAUCGAAGACGAUCAGAUACCGUCGUAGUCUUAACCAUAAACUAUGCCGACUAGGGAUCGGAUGAUGUUAAUUUUUUAAUGACUCAUUCGGCGCCUUACG
rnacentral:rRNA from 1 species